rnacentral:rRNA from 1 species
GACGAACGCUGGCGGCGUGCUUAACACAUGCAAGUCGAACGGAAAGGCCCUGCUUUUGUGGGGUGCUCGAGUGGCGAACGGGUGAGUAACACGUGAGUAACCUGCCCUUGACUUUGGGAUAACUUCAGGAAACUGGGGCUAAUACCGGAUAGGAGCUCCUGCUGCAUGGUGGGGGUUGGAAAGUUUCGGCGGUUGGGGAUGGACUCGCGGCUUAUCAGCUUGUUGGUGGGGUAGUGGCUUACCAAGGCUUUGACGGGUAGCCGGCCUGAGAGGGUGACCGGCGACAUUGGGACUGAGAUACGGCCCAGACUCCUACGGGAGGCAGCAGUGGGGAAUAUUGCACAAUGGGCGGAAGCCUGAUGCAGCAACGCCGCGGGCGGGAUGACGGCCUUCGGGUUGUAAACCGCUUUCGCCUGUGACGAAGCGGGAGUGACGGUAAUGGGUAAAGAAGCACCGGCUAACUACGUG